rnacentral:ncRNA from 2 species
UGCCCCGAAGGAGAUGGCAUUCCUCCUUCAAUAAGCAACAAGAACCGCCGCUACGGCUGAUGAUGCCUACAGAUUU